rnacentral:lncRNA from 10 species
AUGGCUUGGGAAACUGAUAAAAUAUUGUCUUCAAACUUUCCUUUUUGUAGUGCCUGCAUUGGCCCAAAAUUCAACUCUUAUUUCAGUUUUCUACCUCACUGCAAUACCUUCUGGAUAUCUUUACAAUGUCAACAUCCAAUUUCACAAAAAAAGUCCAGUGGAAUGAGCUGUCUCUUCAGGAAUAAAUCAGAAGAGAAAAGGUACAAGUUAGGAGCAAAACAAGUCCUGGAUUUAAAACCAUGGCAAGCAGACUUCUCCACCGGUCCUUUCCAGAGAUGGAAGAGAUACCAGUCAAUCACAAAUAAAUAAAGAAUGUAUGUGAACCAGAUGCUUAUGGCAUAGAUCAUUUUUAUAGGCAUGACAAUUAGGUGGCUACCAUUUAAGGUAUGUUCCUAGAAUAUUUUACAGUAUAUUUUCCAGUCUUAAUUACAAACUUUAGAAAAUAAUUUGAAUAAAAUAGAAAAUGUCUACAGUAUUAUGGAAUUUCCUUCUCAUCAUAUUUGAGAAUCUGUCGUAAAAGCAUGUAAUUAGAACAAAACAAAAAUACUUGCUGACACAUUUUUCUAGGACUUCUGGCCAAAGCAAUAAGGCAAGAAAAAUAAAUGAAACUGAUUAGAAAAUAUAUUAGUAAUAUAAAAUUAGUAGCUAAAAACAAAAUUUUAUUAGCUUAUCAUUCUGGA